UACGUAGGUGGCGAGCGUUGUCCGGAUUUACUGGGCGUAAAGAGCGCGCAGGCGGUCGUACAAGUCGCGUGUGAAAGCCCCCGGCUCAACUGGGGAGGGUCACGCGAUACUGUUCGACUCGAAGGCAGGAGAGGAAAGUGGAAUUCCCGGUGUAGUGGUGAAAUGCGUAGAUAUCGGGAGGAACACCAGUGGCGAAGGCGACUUCCUGGCCUGUUCUUGACGCUGAGGCGCGAAAGCUAGGGUAGCAAACGGG
rnacentral:rRNA from 1 species